rnacentral:rRNA from 1 species
CCUACGGGAGGCAGCAGUGGGGAAUUUUGGACAAUGGGCGCAAGCCUGAUCCAGCCAUUCCGCGUGAGUGAAGAAGGCCUUCGGGUUGUAAAGCUCUUUCGCAAGGGAAGAAAACUUACCUUCUAAUAAAGGGUGAGGCUGACG